GUAGAACCAGGAAGUCUUGUCAAUGGGCAGGGCUUGCGAUCUUCGCAUGUGUCUUAUCGUAAAGAAUUGUUAAAAUUUAGGAUAGGGAAAAAACUAUUUAAUGGAUGAAGCGAGAACAGCAGGAAGAAAAGGAGGGAAGGUAGUUUUCUAGUACAAGCAUAUUGAGAAGAAUGGAGGACAAAGUUUGCGAAGAGCCAGCUAGAUUAACUAGAACUGGACCGAGAGAAAGUCCUCACACCUGAGUUCCUUUCUCAACUCUCCACCAACUGAACCGGGAUGGAAACAGACUAGUGAAGUUCUUUCAGUUCCCUUAAAGGUACUUUGAGGUAUAUAGCAGGUAUCUGAAGAAUGGCCAGUUUACUCUAACACUCUUUGGUGGGCAAAGUACGAAAACUGAAAGACAGCCUAAAGGAUUCCAUUAAGAAAAAAGAGAAAAAAUAGCCUAAUAAAAUAUAGGUGUCGGAGGACCAAUUGUGCAAAAGAGAAUCAAGCUGGAGCUCCCUAUUUUGCAGGAGCUGGGGCUGCACAGGGUGGAGGGAUAUAACGAUUCUCUAGACUUCUCAAGACUGCCUUUAAAAAACUACCUCAACUUCGACUUCUAAUCAAUGAUCUUGCAGCAAGUUUGUAUCUGACCUGGAAUUAGAAACAGCUUCAGAUCCCUACUAAGCAAGUUUGCUUCGGGGUGGGUAGGGGUCUCACCCAAUUACCAAGUCUGUAAGCUGAUUCCCAGCACUUCCUAUCUAUCAUCUGAGUAAAAUAAAUAUAAGUGGAAGGCAAGAGUUCUAUAAACAUUGGGUAUCACCACUGUAUUUUAAGGUAGAGUGACAGGUGUCCUGUAGAGUCCCUGUAAUCACCGGUAACUCUUCAAAAACUUCACGGAGGUUGUAUUAGUAUUUCCUGACUUGCUCCCGCUGACACAUGCCUCCAAGGUCAGCUGGACCAGUGCUACUCAUCACCGCAGUGCAGCUAACUGGACGGCCCACCGGAGGCGUGGACUCCUCGGGAACAGGCAGCUUGCUAUGAGCCCCCGGCCAGGUCAGUGCAUCUCUCUGGCCCUGUUUUCUUAUCCCGACUUUCCCCGCUGAGAAAAUAACGUGGCCGGCCAGAGGCUGGGGGCGCCGCGUGACCAGGGCUCACCUGUGUCCAUCCUCCAGCUGCUGGCACAGCGUGGGCUCCAGCUCCAGCAGGCAGAAGUCGCCGGCUGCAGCGCCGCUGGCCCCAGGGCCGAAGCCCAGGCAGUGCACCGCCGGCAGCAGCUCGGCCGCAUUCAGCUUGGCGAUCUGCAGCGUCGCAUCCACCUCGUCGCGGGUCCUCUUCAUCGCAGCGCCGGGUCUAGGAGUCCCGCCGCGCCCGGGUGGCUGCGGGCUUGGCGGGCAAGAAAGAAGUUCCCAAGCAGCCGGAAGAGCCUGAACUUGAUGGAUCAGCUGGCACCACCCAGAUCGAUUAAUUGGCUCAUCUGAUCUGGGGGCCCCCCCGACCCAGGAACUGACUCAGCGCAAGGAGACAGCUCCGACUCUCCAUGAUUUCAUCCCUGACCAAUCAGCACUCCUGGCUCACUGGCUCCCCCACCCACCAAGUUGUCCUGAAACACUGCUCACCCAGUGCUUGGGGAGACUGAUUUGAGUAAUAAUAAAACUCUGGUCUUCUGGUUCUA